UCAUUACUGAACUGUCAACACGAGUUGUUGCUGGUCCUCAAAUGGGGGCAUGUGCACGCUCUGUUUACACAUCCACUCACACCUGUGCACCCUCUGUAGUUCUGUGGCCAGGGGGACUCUGUUCUCCUGCUGCGGUUCUAUAUCUUUACACACACUCUGUAUUAAAGUUUUAUGGAAUGUAUGCCGCGUUUAACGCAAUACAAUACAACUUUCAGCAACGGAUCUCUUGGCUCUCGCAUCGAUGAAGAACGCAGCGAAAUGCGAUAAGUAAUGUGAAUUGCAGAAUUCAGUGAAUCAUCGAAUCUUUGAACGCACCUUGCGCCCUUUGGCUAUUCCGAAGGGCAUGCCUGUUUGAGUAUCAUGAACACCUCAACUCUCAUGGUUUGCCGUGAUGAGCUUGGACUUUGGGGGACUUUUGCUGGCCUGUGGUCGGCUCCCCUCAAAUGAAUUAGCUUUCCAGUGUUUGGUGGCAUCACGGGUGUGAUAAAUAUCUACGCUUGUGGUUUGCUGCCAGGUAACCUUCAGUGAUGGGGGUUCGCUGGGGCUCAUAAACGUCUCUCCUUAGCGAAGACAGCUUUGUGAAUGUUUGAUCUC
rnacentral:rRNA from 1 species